UGGUCACAAUUUAGAGAAACAAUGAAGCGGAAAUAUCAAAUUUUACCCGCUCACCCAAAAUUUAAGCGUGAAUAUCAAUUAAGUUAUCAGAUCUAGGGUUUUGAUUCUAAAGUCUGCUCCCCAAAAUCACUAGAACCAUAAACUGUACUCCACCAUCAUUGAUCGAAUCCUCCUUCGCUCAACCAUCACCGAUGGAAUCAUCCUCCACUCCACCUCACUGUCAACGAUCUCUCCUGAAUCACAUGGUAACGAUUGGACUUCAACAACAAGCAAAUCAUUUUGUUUCUUAACUGCAACAAAUAUUGUAAAAUUCAAAUUUAGGAAACUGAUAUUAGCAAGAUACUUCAACAAAGGUUAUGCUUCUUUGGUAGGACCAUUAAGCUCUUCGUUUGAAUUGCCAGGUGACCAUGAAGGGCAUGGAUCCCACACAUUAUCAACGGCUGGGGGGCAACUUUGUAUCAGAUGCUAGUGUAUUUUGGUAUGGGAAUGGAACGACUAAAUCCAAAGCAGCCAAUGCAAAUGCAAUAGAUGGAGUAUGAACUGGAUGAAUAAACAUGUGGAAUUGCUUGGAAUGAAGGUAGAAGACAAUGGCUCAGAGAUCAAUCUCAAAAACCACAACAAAUGCCAAAAGAUCCAAUUAUAAGGUGACUACUUUACUUGUCCAUCAUUUGCUUCUAAUAAGGUCCCGCGUUCAAGUCUGAGUGUUAUAGUGGGUAGGUCUUUUAGUUUAAUUAUUAAACUGAUAAGGUCCCGCGUUCAAGUCUGUCUUCUGUCCAUUUUUUGCUUUUUUUGUUAAACGUUGUCUAAGUGUAUUGUGAUUUAUGAACAAAAUUUCUAUAUUACUUUCCUUAAAUUUUUAGUACACAUAAAUAUGGAGUAAUUAAUAAACCAAGUUCCAUUGCAUUGGGAAUAAAAGUCCAACUAGGUGGCCCUCUGGUGUCCCUUACAUUUUUACAUGUACAUUUUUAUUUGGUUUUAUGUGCAUUCAGUUGGAUUUAGGUUGUUCUUUGGCCUUGGUUUUUAAGGGUGUUUCUGUUCUUGUUUGUUCCAACCAGUGCCUUACUAGUUUGCCUCUUAAGUACUUGUUUUUGUUUUUUAUAUGAAUGGAAGUUAGUCUUGGUUGGGGAAAAAAACCUUAACGAAAAUCUUUAAAAAGGUAAUCAGGAAUAAAAUCAAACACCGGUGAGUUGGCCUUUAAUCCAACGGCUGCAUCAUAAUAUAUGAUUUUAAGUUCUUUUCGGUUCAACCAUUCAAGCUUUAUUUGGAAAAAUCUUGGCUUUUAGAUCAAGUUAUGUUCAGAAAAAAUGUUACAGCAUGCUGUGGAAGAGUGGAAGCCCAACAAAUUUGUAUGUAGGUCGCUAGGAGAGCUAUCAAGAACACUAGAAAAGCGUCACGAAUCAUCACUUAGGUAGUACGGCAAUGUUAGUGACCCGUGUUUACAUAGCAGAGAAGACCCUGAGAUUGAAAAGUUGAACCUAGUUAUUAAGGAGCUCGUUAAGGAAAAAUUUUAGAAAAAGAAAGGUUCAAUGGAAUUAUUGCGGGGUUGUUGGCGAAAAAGAAAAAGAUAAGGUGGAUAAAGAUGCUAUGCUUGAUAGGAUAUCACAAAUUAAAGCUAUGUUAAUAGCUACAGUUUGAAGAUAGACUAUAAACACUUGGUUUUAAUUGUUUAGAUAUUUAUCUUAAGAGGAUAAUUUUAGUUAUUUUAUGUUUUA